rnacentral:lncRNA from 1 species
UCUCUGGAUCCAGCGACAAUGGAGGUGUUCUACUACGUGGUGUUCGGGGUCCUUGGCAUCGUCGUGGCGACGUUGGAGCUAAGCAAGAACAAUAAGGACCGGAUCAACACUUCUUCUGCUUUCACUUCUUUCAAGAACAACUACCUCGUCGUUUACUCUCUCAUGAUGGGUACGAUCCUCAAUAUUCGAUCCGAUCUGGUUGAAAUAAUGUGUUUGGGUGGGAGAUUCAGAUCCGUGUUUGUUGUUUUUGUCGUGUUUACUUGCAAAGUAUUGUCUUUUUAGAAAAGAGUUGUAUAACUUUAUGGUUUUGAAUUGCUUCACUUGGUUGGUAGAGAAGGUAACAGAGGAUUAAGAUGUGUAAACAGUGAUGUUACUCUACUAGUAUGAGUUAGAGAUUGGUUGCUAAAACCAAAGUUUCAAAUUUGUAGAAGGUUUUGGUAUUUGUCUAACAUCAAUGAUGUAACCGGAGUUUGAUAUUUUGUGAAUGGCAGCGGGUGACUGGUUACAGGGUCCAUAUGUGUACUAUCUUUACAGUACUUAUGGGUUCAGUAAAGGGGAUAUUGGGCAGCUUUUCAUUGCUGGUUUUGGUUCCUCUAUGCUCUUUGGUACUAUUGUUGGAUCUCUAGCCGACAAACAGUGAGUUUCCUCUCUCUCUCUCUCUCAUGCUUUUAUUAUGUUCUUGUACUUAAUGGAAAAUCUCAACAACUCUCUUUUAGUAAUUGCGUAAUGGUGUGCUUUGUAUCAGGGGUCGUAAGAGAGCGUGUGUUACUUACUGUAUUACCUACAUAUUGAGCUGCAUCACCAAGCAUUCUCCUCAAUACAAGGUUUUGAUGUUGGGCCGUGUGUUGGGAGGCAUUUCUACUUCCCUUCUCUUUUCAUCUUUUGAAUCCUGGCUAGUUGCUGAGCACAAUAAGGUAAAGUUACCAAAGGUUUAUGUUGAGUUAAAGCCCUUAUCCUAAUAAAUAUAUUUCUCUUGUGAUGUAUUCAGAGGGGCUUUGAGCAGCAAUGGCUGUCUAUAACAUUCUCAAAGGCUGUGUUUUUUGGAAAUGGUCUUGUUGCUAUUAUCGCUGGAUUGUUUGGGAACUUGCUAGUGCAUUCCUUCUCUCUUGGUCCUGUUGCGCCAUUUGACGCUGCUGCAUGCGUUCUUGCUAUUGGAAUGGCUGUCAUUCUAUCUUCAUGGUCUGAAAACUAUGGUGAUCCUUCUGACAACAAGGACUUGCUUACUCAGUUUAGAGGUGCUGCAAUCGCCAUUGCCUCUGGUGAGUUUUGAAUUCAGUUUGCCUCUUGAGUCUUGAAGAAUGUUUGAUGACUUGGAAAGUAAGGAGUUUCUGUAUCUUUGAUCAGAUGAAAAGAUCGCACUUUUGGGUGCCAUCCAGUCGCUUUUUGAAGGAUCUAUGUAUACUUUUGUAUUCCUCUGGACUCCUGCUCUAAGCCCCAACGAUGAGGAGAUUCCCCAUGGUUUCAUUUUUGCUACGUUUAUGCUCGCUUCGAUGCUCGGCAGUUCUCUUGCUUCUCGUCUAUUGUCUCGCUCAUCUCCCAAAGUAGAGAGCUACAUGCAGAUAGUCUUCCUAGUUUCUGCUGCCUCACUAUUGCUUCCAAUUAUAAUGGCUGUAAGUUUCUUAAAAAUGCUUAGCGUGACUUCUUAUUUACCUGUUGUUCUAUUCUGUGACUCACUGUUUGCAACCGGAUGUGUGAUUUAGUCAUUAGUAGCACCUUCCAAAGUAAAAGGUGGAGGAAUCUCUUUCUCGGGUUGCUUCCAGCUUCUUGGGUUCUGUAUCUUUGAGGCGUGUGUAGGACUGUUUUGGCCAUCCAUAAUGAAGAUGAGAUCCCAAUACAUACCUGAGGAAGCCAGAAGCACAAUCAUGAACUUUUUCCGGAUUCCUCUGAACAUCUUUGUCUGUGUUGUCUUGUACAAUGUAAGUCUCCUCUAGGCUUCCUUUUCUGCGUUAUCCUAUGACCUGUGUCUUGGUAUUGACUAGUUUUUAUGUGCUCUGAAGGUGAAUGCGUUCCCAAUCACAGUCAUGUUUGGAAUGUGCUCUAUCUUCCUCUUUGUUGCUAGUCUCCUGCAAAGAAGGCUCAUGAUGAUUGUUGACAAGCCAAGUAUGUUGUCUCUAUGUUUCAUUUAGCUCUGAGCUAUCUACUUGCCCUAGCAAGCUUUCCACUUACAAUGAGUUUAAUGAUUUUGCAGAGACAAAUGAUUGGACACCUCUUAAUGAAAGAAACACAGAAGAUGAUCCUCUCAACGUUUGAUGAAUAAACUAUACAUUAUGCACAUUCUGGAUUCAAUAAUGGAGACAGAUAGAAGACAAGGAAAAGUUUUAAGGUUGUUUCUUAUGGCAAUAUAGCAUGCAACAAUUCGAACAGAAAGUUCAUAGCAGUGAAGUUUGAUUAUUUAAUUUUCUCGGCUAUUAUUUAUUGUUGUUGUUAGAAUUUAAAGACACGUUUAUUUUUGUAUGCAAUCAAUGAGGCAUUGUUUCUACCAUUUUGUUUGAGCUCCGUUUCUUUGAAGGCUUGCUGUUAAUUCCUUUUUGAAAUUUCAUAAAAUGGUCAAAGGAGGAUGAAAAGAAAACCUGGAAGUGAAUAAACGUUAAAAAAUCUGAAGAAGAACUCAUCAGCCGAAACGCCAGCUUGAAUUAAGAAAGAAUAGAGUCGUUAAUGAAUGCAUCUUUGAACCAAUGCAGCCCAUUAUGUGAGGUGAAAGCUCGAUUAAUCCAUAUCAGCCAUUCUGGAUUGUAUCUCUGCUUUGCUUCCAACUCUUCGGUAAAACAGAACACAGAGACAGCGAAGUUUUCUUCUGUUUCUAGUCAUUUACGGAUGAGCGUGACCGUCGUCAAAAUGAUACCAUUUAUAGUCAUCAAUCAACUGCAGGAACAGUAACACAUAUGCUUAUCCAAAGGACUCAUCAGAAUAAAUAGUGAGAGCAAUCAAGCGACCGACCUUGGCGUGAGCAGUGUAGUGGCCACCACUGUAAUGGUUGCUAAAUGCGUAGAGAUCAUAUAAGCAAGACUCCACGUUCUUGUUCUUGUCGAUAUCGUUAAUUGGGAAGUCCCAUACUCCCAUGUUUUUUCAUAGACUUGUCUAAAAGCAUCUUCAAAAACACAUUAUAUUUUGAACUUAAUUUCAAAAAUAUAUUUUUAUUUUAUAUUAUUAUCUUUAUAUUUUUUUAUAAUUAAUUAAAUUUAUAUAAUGUUUAUAAAUAACUAGAACAUAUGUAAAAUAUUACAAUAAUAUUAAUUAAUAAAAUGUUACACUAAAUAUAAAAGGGAAAAUUUAUAUAAUGUUACACUACGGCUCUGAGGUCAAAUACACUCAUGGAUCUCGAUUAUCAAUCUUUCUUACAUUCGGUAAUGCCAUAUACAUCAGACAUUGCAGUCCUUUAUCAAUAUCUUGAUGGCGUCUCAUGAGCUAUGUCGCCGUGGAUUAUACCACGCACCGGAAGAUAUAUUAGGUCAUGGACUUCGACUACACGAGCUUAUGGACUGCGAUCAUGAAGGCUGAUCUUUCCUUUUUUUUCACUAGCCCGUACUACAAUCUAGUCGGUCCAUGCUAGUGUUAUAGAUUUGAUAGAUAAUCUGUAUCAAUCAACUAACCUCUCUUAGGCUGGUUUAGUAUAAAGUAAACACAAGGAAUUCAAAUUUCUUUUAUAAGUAUAUGGACUGAAUUGGAUUGUCCUUAUACAACUCAUUUACAUAAUAUAUGCAGCUGCUUUGUUUCAGUCUAUGAACAACUUAGGAACAAUGUUAUUCUUUAUCCAGUGAUCCAUAUGCUGCUUACUACAUCAUUAUAUGUCAAUCUAAUUUCUUUCUUAUGACCAGACCUUUAUCAAUUUCGAAAAUAUGUAGCAGCAUCCACCACAUAGGAGUUUAUCUCCUUAUAAUCUGUUCCAUGGUCUCUGUGAGUAUCCUUGUGUAACAAGCUAUGAUCUAAUGCUGUUUAGUAGGAAACAUGAACACUUUUAGACCAUGUGAUCAUGUACCAUAUCUCACGGUUUCUAAACCAUUGAUUUUAUAAAAUGUCCAUUUAUAUUUGGAACUCUUUAUAUUUUUAUGUUUUGUAAAAUAUAUUUAGAGUAGAAUAUAUUAUAUUAUAAUAUAGAUGUUUGAUAAUAGUUUUUUAUCUGUACAUAAUAUUAUAUUUAUAAUUUUAUAACUUGAUGCAAUUUGAUGUAAUUGUAGUAUUUAUAUAUUAACCUAUUGAUAUUUUUGUUUAUUUAUUUAAAAAUGAUUUAAUUUUUUACAGUAGGUUUUUAUGAAUUAUUAUUAAUUUUAUGAUAUUUGGGUUUCUUGAAAAUUAUAUUGUAGCAGAUUAAUAUAUACUAUAUAUUACAGUUUGUGUUUUUAUUUUCAGCAAAAAAUAACAACAAUUCAUUGUAAUUAAUUUAUUUUUUUUUAUUUUAAGUGAAGUGGAAGAUUUGUAAAUAAGAAAGUAAUGCAAUGGCUAAAUGUGUAAAUAAAAAGAAAUAUUUAAUCUGCUAUCCAAGUUUGCAAACGACAUAAUCUGUAAAUGAGAAAAAAAUACAGUGACUAAAUAUGUAAAUAAAAAAGAUAUUUAAUCUGCUAUCAUUGUUUCCAAACAAUUUGCAUUUAAUCUACUAUCUAAAUUUUCAAACAGUACCAAAAGGUACUUCAGUUUAAUAAUAUAGAUGUUUGGUUUAGUUUGGUUAUGUUUAGGUUAUUGGGUUAAACUAAACCAAACUGAAUCCGAAAUUCAAAGAAUCACAAUAUGAAAGACAUGUUAUUAGAUGGAUCCAAACCGAACCGAUACCUUUAAUUUUGGGUCGGGUUCGGGUUUUGGUUUGUAAGCGAGGCCUAGUACAAGUAUAGAUAGUAGAGAAUAGAAAGAUCUGAAUCUCAAAGAAGCACUUCUCCCCAUCUCUCAAUUUCUCCGGAUCCAGCGACAAUGGAGGUGUUCUACUACGUGGUGUUCGGGGUCCUCGGCAUCGUCGUGGCGACGUUGGAGCUGAGCAAGAACAACAAGGAUCGGAUCAACACUUCUUCAGCAUUCACUUCUUUCAAGAACAACUACCUCGUCGUUUACUCUCUCAUGAUGGGUACGAUCCCCAAUUUUUAUUAUCUCUAGAAAAUGUUUGAUUCGAUCCGAUCUGAUCUGAUCUGGUUAAAGUAAUGUGGAAUUUGGGUGGGAGAUUCAGAUCCGUGCUUGUUGUUGGUUUUGAAUUGCUUCACUUGUUAGAGAAGAUAACCAAUUAUUGAAGAUCUGUUAACAAUAAUGUUACCUACUACUAUGGGUUAGAGAUUGG